UACGGAGGAUCCGAGCGUUAUCCGGAUUUAUUGGGUUUAAAGGGUGCGCAGGCGGGAGAUUAAGUCGGCGGUGAAAUUUUGCAGCUCAACUGUAAAAGUGCCUUCGAAACUGGUUUCCUUGAGUGUAGAUGAAGUAGGCGGAAUUUGUGGUGUAGCGGUGAAAUGCAUAGAUAUCACGAGGAACUCCGAUUGCACAGGCAGCUUACUAAACUACUACUGACGCUCAGGCACGAAGGCGUGGGGAGUCAAACAGGAUUAGAUACCCGGGUA
rnacentral:rRNA from 1 species